rnacentral:rRNA from 1 species
CCUACGGGAGGCAGCAGUGAGGAAUAUUGGUCAAUGGACGGAAGUCUGAACCAGCCAUGCCGCGUGCAGGAAGACGGCUCUAUGAGUUGUAACCUGCUUUUGUACAAGGGUAAACCUGAAUACGUGUAUUCAGCUGAAAGUACUGUACGAAUAAGGAUCGGCUAACUCCGUGCCAGCAGCCGCGGUAAUACGGAGGAUACAAGCGUUAUCCGGAUUUAUUGGGUGUAAAGGGUGCGUAGGCGGAUUGAUAAGUUAGAGGUGAAAUGGCCGAGCUUAACUCAGGAACUGCCUCUAAUACUGUUUAUCUAGAGAGUAGGUGCGGUAGGCGGAAUGUAUGGUGUAGCGGUGAAAUGCGUAGAGAUCAUACAGAACACCGAUUGCGAAGGCAGCUUACCAAUCUAUAUCUGACGUUGAGGCACGAAAGCGUGGGGAGCAAACAGGAUUAGAUACCCCUGUAGUC